rnacentral:rRNA from 1 species
GAUGAACGCUGGCGGCGUGCCUAAUACAUGCAAGUCGAGCGAACAGACGAGGAGCUUGCUCCUCUGACGUUAGCGGCGGACGGGUGAGUAACACGUGGAUAACCUACCUAUAAGACUGGGAUAACUUCGGGAAACCGGAGCUAAUACCGGAUAAUAUAUUGAACCGCAUGGUUCAAUAGUGAAAGACGGUUUUGCUGUCACUUAUAGAUGGAUCCGCGCCGCAUUAGCUAGUUGGUAGGGUAACGGCUUACCAAGGCGACGAUGCGUAGCCGACCUGAGAGGGUGGUCGACCACACUGGAACUGAGACACGGUCCAGACUCCUACGGGAGGCAGCAGUAGGGAAUCUUCCGCAAUGGGCGAAAGCCUGACGGAGCAACGCCGCGUGAGUGAUGAAGGUCUUCGGAUCGUAAAACUCUGUUACUAGGGAAGAACAAAUGUGUAAGUAACUAUGCACGUCUUGACGGUACCUAAUCAGAAAGCCACGGCUAACUACGUG